AUGGAGGAUCCUCAUUCGGAGCACUUCCUUUGCUGUGGUGAUCCUGUGGUGAUGUUACGAGCCCGAAUGCAAAGGGGAUUUCUGAAGUCAGAGACCAGGUCUUUCUCUUCUGUGGAGUUCUGUCCAGUGCGGAGCUGUGUGGGGUGUGCUCCAUUUCACCUGGAGCUCUGUGGCUCCUGCUGUCUCCAUGCCUGCAGGCGUUGGGUGACGUUUCCUGGACUGUGUUGUGUGAGUGCUCUCCUGCCUCUGCCUACAUGUUGGCUGUCUGGAUCUCUUUGGGUUACUCCUCCUCCUGCUCUGUGUCCCAUGGGAUGCACUCCCUGGAUCUCUCAGAAUGGUCAUCAGACCUGAUGGGUGUUGCUCCCAGGAAUCUCCUCUUCAUGGUCAGAUUCCUCCAGGAAGCACAGGCUCAGCUUCGUGGAGAGCACUCCAAAAGCUAGUGCUCCCUGUCCUGAGUCCACGCUGGGCUCUGGGAUCAGACCUGAUGUGUACACGGUGAGCAGGUGGAUUAUGAAGGAGUAGGCUUGUCGUGCAUGGGAAGUAGCCUGGAAGGCUCCAGGAAAUCCAUUCCCUGCUUGGAGGAUAGACUGUUAUUAGUGGGGUGAAGCAGACAAGGGGUUUGUGCUGGGAAGGCCUUACUGUCAUCUGGAAGGAGCCCUGUCGGGACUGCCUGAGGAGGGCAUGCAUACCAGCUCUGGCCGAGUGGACCUCUCCCCUUGUUCAUAUUUACAGCAGUGACCGCAGGAGCAUGACCACUUACCCUGUGGCUGCUGCAUGCCAAGCACUGCAGCAGGUACUCUUGCUCACAAUAUCUCGUCAGUCACCCCAGUAACCUGUACAGUAAUCAAUAUCAUCAUCUCCCCAAACUGAGUCCCCAAAAGGGUCAGUGAGCUCCUACAGUCACUCAGGAACAGGUGACGGAGCUGGAAUUUGAGCCUUGUCAUCCUGAAGCCUGUUUUUUCACUAUGCUUAACAAACCAAUGCAGUUUCCUUUGUCAUUGGCCCAGUGCCUUCCCCUUUCAGUACACACAGUGGAUGCUGAUUUCUCCUUUAUCAGCAGCUGGUCCUGGACCCAGAACUGGAAAUCAGCCUUAGAAUACAGACAACCCCUGCCAGAGAGAGGCAGGCGUCCCUUUGAUGACUGAAGGCACAGGUCACUUGGAAGAGUGGAAGCCUCAUCAGGCUCCGUCAGGCUUGACAGGGCAUCUGUUUGCUGGAGCACAGUGGAUAUAAGCAGAGCAGCUGCCAGCCUCUGCGUUGGUUGGGGUUUUGUGUUUGCUGCUUUGUUUGUCUAACGUUAUUCUCCACUAAAACCACCCCCAUUUGGCAUCAAAAGCAUUAAUAAACCCUCCACAACCUACUGUCUCUCCUGUGGUUAAUCAAUCCAUACAAAUCUAUUUAGCACCUACUGUGUGUCCGGCAUUUCAGCCCCAUGACAUUGAUUAAAACAGGAAGUAAGAAGUCACAGCCGCUGGGUUUUCACUGGGGCCCUGUUUUGUGAUGUGUCACAAGGCACGUGCCAAUCGCUUGCUUAGCCGUUUACGGUGACCCUCCUUCCUGCUGCGCUAUGCUGGGGGCUCUCAGGAAGACAGGGUUGGUGUAUCAGGUAGUUUAGGCUUCAGUCAUUUCUACCCUGCUCACCCCCCCCCCCACAAAGUAG
rnacentral:lncRNA from 1 species